CCCGCUGAACUUAAGCAUAUCAAUAAGCGGAGGAAAAGAAACUAACAAGGAUUCCCCUAGUAACUGCGAGUGAAGCGGGAAAAGCUCAAAUUUGAAAUCUGGCGGUUUUGCCGUCCGAGUUGUAUUCUGGAGAAGUGCCUUCUGUGCCGGACCGUGUACAAGUCCCUUGGAACAGGGCGUCAUAGAGGGUGAGAAUCCCGUCUUUGACACGGACUGCCGGUGCUCUAUGAUGCGCUCUCGAAGAGUCGAGUUGUUUGGGAAUGCAGCUCAAAACGGGUGGUAAAUUCCAUCUAAAGCUAAAUAUUGGCGAGAGACCGAUAGCGAACAAGUACCGUGAGGGAAAGAUGAAAAGCACUUUGGAAAGAGAGUAAAACAGUACGUGAAAUUGUUGAAAGGGAAACGCUUGAAGUCAGUCGCGUCUGCCGGAACUCAGCCUUGCUUCUGCUUGGUGCACUUUCCGGUCUGACGGGCCAGCAUCGGUUUCGUGCGGCGGACACGGACAAGGGGAAGGUGGCGGCUCCGGUCGUGUUAUAGCCCCCUGUCGCAAACGUCUCGCGGGACCGAGGAAUCCGGCGCAAGCCUGGGAUGCUGGCGUAAUGGCUUUAAACGACCCGUCUUGAAACACGG
rnacentral:rRNA from 1 species